GGGCCCGCACAAGCGGUGGAGCAUGUGGUUUAAUUCGAUGCAACGCGAAGAACCUUACCAUCCCUUGACAUCCAGUGAACUUUCUAGAGAUAGAUUGGUGCCUUCGGGAACACUGAGACAGGUGCUGCAUGGCUGUCGUCAGCUCGUGUUGUGAGAUGUUGGGUUAAGUCCCGCAACGAGCGCAACCCUUAUCCUUAGUUGCCAGCACGUAAUGGUGGGAACUCUGGGAGACUGCGGUGAUAAACCGGAGGAAGGUGGGACGACGUCAAGGUCAUCAUGGCCCUUACGGGGAGUGGGCUACACACGUGCUACAAUGGCGCGUACAAAGGGCAGCGAACUGCGAAGGUAAGC
rnacentral:rRNA from 1 species